GUGCCAGCCGCCGCGGUAAUACGUAGGUGGCAAGCGUUGUUCGGAAUUAUUGGGCGUAAAGCGCGCGCAGGUGGUUUCUUAAGUCUGAUGUGAAAGCCCACGGCUUAACCGUGGAGGUUCAUUGGAGACUGGGAGACUUGAGUGCAGCAGAGGAAAGUGGAAUUCCACGUGUAGCGGUGAAAUGCGUAGAGAUGUGGAGGAACACCAAUGGCGAAGGCGACUCCCUGGGCUGCAACUGACGCUGAUGCGCGAAA
rnacentral:rRNA from 1 species